UAGGGAAUCUUCCACAAUGGACGAAAGUCUGAUGGAGCAACGCCGCGUGAGUGAAGAAGGGUUUCGGCUCGUAAAACUCUGUUGUUAAAGAAGAACAUAUCUGAGAAUAACUGUUCAGGUAUUGACGGUAUUUAACCAGAAAGCCACGGCUAACUACGUGCCAG
rnacentral:rRNA from 1 species